UGUACGCUUUCUACAACGGUUUUCUAUAAUUUUUUUGAGAUCAAUACUAAGAUUGUAAUAGAAUGCUAAGAAUAAAUAGCGAUUCGUUCGUUCAGUUUUGAAGUAUUACCAACCCUACUUUCUGCAUAUUAAACGAACCCUUCGACUGCAAAUGAGUCAGAAUUCGGCAAGAUGGAGCCUUUCGCUUGGUUUUUACGAAGUACAUUCAGCACGUGUAUAAAAAGUGCCAAGCUAAUUUCAUAAAAUGUUAGUAUAACGUGGAAAAUAGUAUUUAAAAAUAUGUAUUGUAUGCCGAAGUUAGGUUUAUGAAAAUUCCCCUGUUGGUGUUUGCGCAUUGCUAGGAAGAAAGAAAAGAGAAAUACAAGUUUUAUGGAAGAACAGUAAUGCCGAAAUGGUUGUCGAUGUCGGGAAUUGUACGGUCGAUGCCUCGUCAAUUGUAACAUAUGU